ACGUUAUCAAUAAACUCUCAUCAUCCUUAUCACCACAACAUCAAAAUUUUAUCCUACCACCUGUUAUUUUCAUAUCUUCAAAUAUAUAUCAUUAAUCUUAUUAUCAUUCAUUCUUCAGUUUCAUUUCUCUAAAACAUCGACCCCAGGGGUGGUUGUGUGUUCCGUACCAGCAAGAUCUGAUCCCAAGCGAUCUGAUCCCAAGCUCAACAAGUCAUGUCACAUCAUAUAUCUACAGGAUCUGAUCAAAAAUUCAAUCACAGCAUAUAUGCAUCAUGCAAACAAUGAAGAAAGUGCUUCAAAAAGAUUGGACUAAUGGAGAGAUAUUUUUAGGUAAUAUUUUUUGUUUUAAGUUUCAUUUGUACGGUAUCUCCUUUUAGCCACUUUCUAUUAUGUUCCAUUUUUGUUUUAAUUGUUACAUAGGUGGAUUUAAUUAUGGUGCUGGGCUUAUGUCCAACUCACAAGUAUACAACUUUAACCAUACUACAGAAUUAAAGUAGCCAUGUUAGAAGAACAAUAAUUAUGUUUCCACAUAAAAAAUAUGAGAGAUGGACAUGAAGAAAAAUAACAGCAAUAUGCCUCACCGCUCGGGCUCUAGCAUACAUGAGAGAUGAUUUCCUGAAUUAUGAAGAAGUGAAGUGUCAGGAAUGACCCUGUGUAAAUGUUUUAGGUCCUUGUAAAAAACGGUGUUCCUCGACCUUGCCGGCAUAGUAUUAUCCUAAUCUACCCCUUUACCAGGUAUUCUCCUUUGUAUUCCGCCCGCUAUAGCAGGUGUAGAACAUAAAGCAAAUGAGGGCAAUACUAACAAUAAAGGGCAGGAGAGGAAGCCUGCUACAACAGUUGUAGAACCUAAUACAAGUUGGAGAAAUACUAGUCGCAGAAUGCAUAUAGGAAAAUGCAUAUAGGUUCUUCAACAUAAAGUUGUAGAACCUUUAUGUUGGGAAUUUUUUUGACGUGACUUUGUUUGGUAGAUAUCAAAUUUGUAAGUUAUGUUUGUAUGACUGUGUUCGUUGUAGUGGUGGCUUGAAGCUAUGAAGUCUUCCUCGCCUUCUGUAAGAAGACAGAUAAGGAUCCCUUCGCUGAGGUUUCUUCAGAUGAUAGCAAGAGUUCUUGUCACUCGUGCACUACAAGAAAUAGAUCAAUAGACAUCGGUCAAGAACCGAUGUUAAAACGUUUAUUGUACAUUGUCUUUCGACUUCUUUGUUUGUUUAUUUACUAUUCUGACUUUUUUUCCAGUUCCAGCUCAAAUUCAGUCAGCCCUUUUCUCCAAUAGUAGAUGACCCUGAUCGUGCUUUCAUGUCUGAUGCAUUCUGCUGCUAAGAAUGCUGGAAAACAUUUUCCAACUGCAAUCAUAAGUGGAAGAAGGCGUGAUAUGGUUGGAAUUCUUGAACUUCUCUAUGCUGGUAGUCAUGGUAUGGACAUUAGAUACCUGCUCCGGGACACCUAUACUGGUAGUCAUGGUAUGGACAUUAGAUAUCGCCUGCGGGACACAGCUGAAGUACCUCCUGACCAUAUCAAAUCUGAGAAACAUCCUGACCAGCAGGACUUCCAGGAGUCAGUGGUUUGUCUACCGAACAGAGAAGUUUACUAUUGUGGCUGAGCUUGUUGCUAAUCCGUCAUUAAUCAUCUUCAUGGGCGAACCAACUUCUGGCCUUGAUGCAAUAGCAGCAGCCGUUGCCAUGAGGACACUGUUAGAAACACAGUGGACACUGAAGAACUUUUGUUUGCACAAUUCAUCAGCCUAGCCUCGACAUAUUUAUGUCGCUUUUGAUGAGAGUCCACUCGUCCUCUGCGCCCGAUGCAUAGUAGUGAUACACCAACUUUGGCAAUUUUGCCUUUGCAAUUGCAUCAUAAUCGGUACUGAGACACGGAAAUAGGGGCUAUGGAAUUCUGGUAUCUUCUAUCGUCAAAGAGAGAGGAGCCUUCUUCUCGCACAAGGACCCUAACAACAUAAUAAAAUCAUUUUCUUUCUUUAAAAGUAUGCAAUAAAUUGAAUAUUUGAUAGUAUACGGUGAAUUUUGGACAUUUUUUAGACUUGUAUAUCCUGUGAUCUUAGGAAAAAGAAUAAAUUGAUUUCCUUGUAGCAAUUUAGAGAUAUAUAAGUUUUAGUGAGAUGGUAGAAAGCUGCCAUCACAGUAGCAGUAAAAGUAAAAGAAGCAUGAGCUGCACUGCAUUGGACGCGGUUGAACCCCAGCAAUAAAGUCUGACUAGAAAGGGUGCAUCUGAGAAUGAAGAAAAGAAUAAUGAAGCAGCAGUGUUAUAUUCUUAGAUUUUGAAGAAAGAUACUUGAGGCUUGGAGUAUGAAUUCAUUACGGAAUUUGUGGCUUAAUGAUAUUGGAUUCCACCUUUUCUCGAAGACUAGUCUUCCUCUUCUUGUGAGUUUGAACAACAUAAGGAUAUAGUGCGUGUGUUUUGCACCUCUUUGAGCUCUCUUCUUGUUGUUUACCCAAUUUUUUUUAAACUUGUUACACAUGCCUUUCAUGAUUGUAA